rnacentral:rRNA from 1 species
AUUGACCGCUGGCGGCAGGCCUAACACAUGCAAGUCGAACGCGUGGCGGACGUGUGAGUACUUUCUGGGAAACUGCCUGAUGGCGGGGGAUAACUACUGGAAACGGUAGCUAAUACCGCCUACCAUCAGCUGUGCCCAGCUGGGAUUAGCUUGUUGGUGGGGUAACGGCUCACCAAGGCGACGAUCCCUAGCUGGUCUGAGAGGAUGACCAGCCACACUGGAACUGAGACACGGUCCAGACUCCUACGGGAGGCAGCAGUGGGGAAUAUUGCACAAUGGGCGAAAGCCUGAUACAGCCAUGCCGCGUGUAUGAAGAAGGCCUUCGGGUUGUAAAGUACUUUCAGCGGGGAGGCGUUACCCGCAGAAGAAGCACCGGCUAAAUCCGUGCCAGCAGCCGCGGUAAUUC